UACAGAGGUCCCAAGCGUUGUUCGGAUUCACUGGGCGUAAAGGGUGCGUAGGCGGUCAUUUAAGUCUGACGUGAAAUCUCCGGGCCUAACCCGGAAACUGCGUUGGAAACUAUCUGACUAGAGGAAUGGAGGGGAGACUGGAAUACUUGGUGUAGCAGUGAAAUGCGUAGAUAUCAAGUGGAACACCAGUGGCGAAGGCGAGUCUCUAGACAUUUCCUGACGCUGAGGCACGAAAGCCAGGGGAGCAAACGGG
rnacentral:rRNA from 1 species